rnacentral:rRNA from 1 species
CCUACGGGAGGCAGCAGUGGGGGAUAUUGCACAAUGGGGGAAACCCUGAUGCAGCGACGCCGCGUGUGGGAAGACGGUCCUCUGGAUUGUAAACCACUGUCCCCAGGGACGAAGAUGACGGUACCGGGGGAGGAAGCUCCGGCUAACUACGUGCCAGCAGGCGCGGUAAUACGUAGGGAGCGAGCGUGGUCCGGAAUUACUGGGUGUAAAGGGAGCGUAGGCGGGACUGCAAGUUGGGUGUCAAAUCUACCGGCUCAACCGGUAGCCGCACUCAAAACUGCAGUUCUUGAGUGAAGUAGAGGCAGGCGGAAUUCCUAGUGUAGCGGUGAAAUGCGUAGAUAUUAGGAGGAACACCAGUGGCGAAGGCGGCCUGCUGGGCUUUUACUGACGCUGAGGCUCGAAAGUGUGGGGAGCAAACAGGAUUAGAUACCCGAGUAGUC